UCCAGACUCCUACGGGAGGCAGCAGUGGGGGAUAUUGCACAAUGGGGGGAACCCUGAUGCAGCGACGCCGCGUGGGUGAAGGAGUGCUUCGGCAUGUAAAGCCCUAUCGGCAGGGAAGAAGCAAGACGGUACCUGACUAAGAAGCCCCGGCUAACUACGUGCCAGCAGCCGCGGGAAUACGUAGGGGGCAAGCGUUAUCCGGAUUUACUGGGUGUAAAGGGAGCGUAGACGGCAGUGCAAGUCUGAAGUGAAAGGCGGGGGCCCAACCCCCGAACUGCUUUGGAAACUGUGCUGCUGGAGUGCAGGAGAGGCAAGUGGAAUUCCUAGUGUAGCGGUGAAAUGCGUAGAUAUUAGGAGGAACACCAGUGGCGAAGGCGGCUUGCUGGACUGUAACUGACGUUGAGGCUCGAAAGCGUGGGGAGCAACCAGGAUUAGAUGCCCCCGUAAU
rnacentral:rRNA from 1 species